AUUUCAAAAAAUUUAAAGAGGCCUGUUUAACGUGCAGAGGCAGAUCAUUCCAUAAUUUAGGAGCCGACACAGCAAAGGCACGGUCCCCUCUGAGCUUCCGCUUAGUUUUAGGCACACUCAGGAGCAGCUGAUCCUCUGACCUGAGAGAGCGAGUGGGUAUAUAAGGGCGUAGAAGCUCAGAGAGGUAGGGCAGGGCAAGACCAUUCAGGGCUUUAAAAGCAAA